UGUCCUUGGUGUUUGGCGAUAG
rnacentral:miRNA from 15 species